GGGGGGGGGGGGGGGCUUAUGUAUUAAGCCAUAGCAUAAGUUUGUGAAAUGGAGGGAAUUUAUAUUGGCAAAAGAGAAGCAUAUCAUUGACAUUUUCAAUUUGGCGGUCCUUUUCCAGUAAAAAGGCCACACAAGUAAUUCACCGUUUUUGCUUCGGUUUGUAAGGGUUAUAGUCAGAGCAGUUCAUGGAGGAGGAACCAGCGAAUCGCCGUACGAAACGAACUAGAGCUCAAACUAGGGUUACUGAGGAACAAUAUGUGAAUGAGGAAGAGAGAGAAGAAUGGUCUGAUGAUUUUGAAGAGUCACGUGCUAGACCUAAGCGCACUAAGCCUUUAGGAGGAGGCACUUCAUCUACUGCUGCUCCUGCUCCUACAAAUGCUCAUCACAGUUUAAUAGAUGUUGUUAAAGGUGAUAGGAGACAAAUUCCUCCACUGGUCAAGCAUUGGGUGGAACACUAUGAGAAGGAUCAGAAAGCUGCAAUGGCUGGACUCUUGAGCAUGAUGUUUGAGGCAUGUGGAGCAAAAUAUCAUAUUGAAGAAGAUUUCUUGGACCAAACUGAUGUUGAUGAUGUCGUAGUUGCUCUUGUAAACAUGGCUAAGAAGGGUGAAGUUGAGGAUUAUCAAACUUCAAAAAAGAAGGACUUCAAGAACUUCAAAGAUAACCUCGUCUACUUCUGGGAUACUUUGGUUGCUGAAUGUGAAAAUGGACCACUUUUUGAUAAGUUCUUGUUUGACAAGUGCAUGGAUUAUGUGAUUGCGCUAUCAUGCACUCCUCCGAGAGUAUAUCGUCAGGUUGCUUCACUAAUGGGGCUACAACUUGUUACAUCCUUUAUACACGUUGCCAAAGUACUUGGUGCGCAGCGGGAAACCACACAGAGGCAACUAAAUGCUGAAAAGAAGAAGAAAGUGGAUGGGCCUCGAGUUGAAUCACUAAAUAAAAGAUUAUCCAUGACCCAUGAAAAGAUAACAGUAAUAGAGGAGAUGAUGCGGAAGAUAUUUACUGGGCUAUUUAUGCACCGUUAUCGAGAUGUUGAACCUGAUAUCAGAAUGGCAUGCAUACAGUCAUUGGGUGUUUGGAUCCUGUCAUACCCCUCUCUGUUUUUGCAGGAUUUGUAUUUGAAAUAUCUAGGAUGGACUUUGAAUGAUAAAAGUGAUGGUGUAAGGAAGGCAUCAGUUCUUGCACUGCAGAAUCUUUAUGAUGUGGAUGAUAAUGUACCAUCUCUUGGUCUUUUCACUGAGAGGUUUUAUAAAAGGAUGAUCGAGCUUGCUGAUGAUGUUGAUAUUUCUGUGGCAGUAUGUGCUAUAGGACUUGUGAAACAACUGAUAAGACAUCAACUUGUUCCUGAGGAGGAAUUAAGCUCUUUAUAUGAUUUGCUAAUUGAUGAUCCACCGGAAAUCAGGCGUGCCAUUGGAGCACUAGUGUAUGAUAAUCUGAUUGCCCAGCGAUUGAACAGUUCACAAUCUAGUUCAGGGGAUAAUAAUGAUUCUUCUGAGGUUCAUCUUAGUAGACUGCUGCGCAUAUUGGGGGAGUUUUCAAAGGACGAAAUGCUGAGUAUGUAUGUCAUUGAUGAUAUCUGGGAGUAUAUGGAUGCCAUGAAAGAUUGGAAGCGUAUCCUGUCUAUGCUCUUGGAGGAAGACCCGUCAGCUGAACUAAGUGAUGUAGAUGCGACAAACCUUAUUCGACUGCUUUCUGCGUCAAUUAGAAAGGCAAUUGGAGAGAAGAUUGUUCCUGCUAGUGACAAUAGAAAACAAUAUUAUACUAAAGCACAAAGGGAAAUGUUUGAAAGUUGUAAGCGUGAUAUAACCGUUGCUAUGAUGAGGAAUUAUCCGCUGCUUCUUCGCAAAUUUAUGUCCGACAAAGCAAAAAUUCCCUAUCUACUUGAAAUCAUUGUUCAUAUGAACCUUGAGCUCUAUUCUCUUAAAAGACAAGAUCAGAAUUUUAAAUCUGCUGUCAUUCUGAUGAAAGAGGCAUUUUUCAAGCAUGGUGAGAAGGAAGCUCUGAGAUCUUGUGUAAAAGCUCUGAACUUCUGUGCUACUGAGAGUCGAGGGGAAUUACAGGACUUUGCCCUUAACAAAUUGAAGGGGAUUGAAGAUGAGCUCAUUAUCAAACUUAAAUCUGCAAUGAAAGAAGUUGCGGAUGGUGAUGAUGAAUAUUCACUGCUUGUUAACUUGAAAAGGUUGUAUGAACUUCAAUUGUCUAGGCAAAUUUCCAUUGAAAGCUUGUAUAAAGAUUUUGCAGAGACUCUUAAAAACUUCAGAAGUAUUGAUGACGAGGUAAUUGGAUUUCUGCUUCUUAACAUGCAUCUGCAUGUUUGCUGGUGCCUACACUCUAUCAUAAACUCUGGCACAGUCCCGGAGCAAUCAAUAUCUUCCUUAAUCUCCAAGCGCAGUACCUUGUUUGAACUACUUGAGUCCUUCUUGACUACUGAAUCUCCGGGAGGUCUUCGUGCGAGUCAACUUGCAUGUAGGGUAUGUGUUAUUUUAUCAGAACAAUGGUGUCUGUUCAGGACAGCAACCUUUGCUUCCACGGAGCUAGAAGCUUUGGGGUACUCUCCAGAUGAAUCCAUUCUUCAAAAGUUCUGGAAGCUUAGUGAAGGCCAACUACAUAUUCCAGAUGAGACUGAAGAAGAAGAUUCUAAUAGGGAAUAUAUUGAGGAGACAAAUCGAGAUGCUGUAAUCAUUGCUGUUGGGAAGUUGGUUGCUGUUGACGCAGUUCCUAAGGAAUAUCUUGCUCCAGAGAUUAUAUCUCAUCUUGCAAUGCAUGGGACAAGUGUGUCUGAGGUCAUUAAGCAUUUGCUAACCGUGUUAAGGAAUAAAGGUGCAGAUGUUGCACGUUUGUUCCUAGAGGCACUAAAAAGGGCCCAUGAGCGAUACUUAUUAGCACUUUCCUCUGAUGAUGACGAAUCAGCGAGAAAGACUUUUCAUGAAUGUGAAGAUCUUGCCAGUCGGCUUGCUAAGACAUUUGGAAAUGCUGCUAGAAACAAGCACCGGUCAGAUGGUUUAAAUAUUGUCACAGGAGGCAUUCACUAUGCCUUUACAGAUGCUCCAAAACAUCUAUCUUUCUUGGAUGGAGCUGUGCUGCAUUUCAUAUCCAAACUUCCUCCUCCAGAUAUUAUUGAUAUCUUGAAAGGUGUCGAGAAAAGAACUGAAAAUGUUAACACAGAUGAAGAUCCGAGCGGCUGGAGACCCUAUCAUAUAUUUGUAGACACGGUCCGUGCGAAGUAUGUAAAGGGUGAAGGUUUACAAGAUGAUAAGGAAGGUACAGCUGUGAGACGUCGAGGUCGUCCUCCUAAGAAGCAGAACCUUCAAGGAAAAAAACUAUUUGACGAGCACAACUCUAGUGAAGACGAGGAAUCAAUCAGUGGAUCUGAGCAGGAGGCAGAUGAAGAAAAACAAGAUGACGAAGAGGUCCCUCUAAUACAUUCUAUUAAGUCAUCAUCCAAGCUAAGGUCUCUGAAGAUAUCAAGAGAUAGCUGAGUCCAUGUGAGAACUGGUCAUUCUGGUCUGUGUUUAGGCUGGUCCUGUUCCAAAACAUCAGGUUAUCAAAUCUUAGAAGACUUUUCUCUGUCAUCAUGAGCAAACAAGUUCCUCGGGAACCAUACUAGUUUGAGGAAGCCUUUGUUGAAGUACACCUUAGGGUGCAGCCUUGAGUAUUUAAUAGGUCAUGUUGUCAGUCUCAUAUCUUUUUUUUCUUUUUUCUUUUUUGAAGUAGCUAUAUUUGCAAUUUCUUUUUGUCAGUUUCAAUUCGUUGUGGAUUUGCGAAGGUAUUAUUUUUCAGGAUAAUUAUUUGGAAAAUGUGUAGUGGCUAGUAACUGCUAAAUUGAGAUUUUUUUUUUUUUUUUGACGGAAGAGAGAUGUAAAGAAGCUUCAUGUAGGAGAAAUGCAAAAUAAUCAAAAACAGGAUCAACGUUUCUUAUCAUUUACUACCCGAAGUGUGAUUACAAGUUACUUCGUCUGUCCCAAUUUAUGUGACCUUUUUUCUUUUUUAGUAACCUUUCUAUAUUUAGUAAGAAUUUAAUUUUGAACUUUUCAUUUUACGCUUAAUGAGAUGAUUUAUAGCGAAAUAAAUUUCUAUGGCUUAUUUGGAUCAUAAGUUUUAAAAGUUUUUCUUUUAUUCUUAAACUCCAUGUUUAAUUAAACACCUUCGCAUAAUUUGGGACGGUGGGAGUACUAUUAGUUCUACACAUUUUAAAUUUAAAGAUGCAGUGAUGGCAUUGCAUAAUUAAAGUAUCGAUUAUAUGGCUGAAAUUAAAGUGGAAUCACCCAAUUGGUCCAAUUCCAAUGGUCAGGCAUACCACCUUCGUAAUGCUACUCAACAGUUAUAUCCAUUAUUAGAGUAAACUAGGCUUCUUGUGUGAAAACUUCCAACUCUACAUUUACUCGGUUUCUGGGAAGUGAGAUUCUAAAGUUUAGACCAGAAUUACUCUAAUUCAUAUACCUAUCCCUUUUUAUCUUUAGUUUUACUGGAAAAAAGAGGAAGAGUAUAAGCAGUUGCCACAUUGAAGAAACUGCGGUCUGGUAUUUUUUCUUUUUGGUUCAAUAUCAACUUGGAGACUGUUGAGGCUUAUUAAAAAAUUGGAACAUCCAAUCUAAAAUAUUAAGGCAACGGCAAGAGUAGCCCAUGGGCAUUAUAAAUCCAUUUGUAAACCACUUAAAUUACUGACGAGGGGCAAGUUUAGUUUACGAAGAGAAAAUACCAUUUAUUUGUUUUGAGUGAUUACGAUUUCCUUUUUUUUUUUUGUUUUUUUUUUUUGGUUGGUGCAAUCAGUGUGGCUAAACCUGCUGCACUUAGCUGAUUAUACCCUUUUGAUAUAUAUUACUCCAUUACCUACGAUCUUGAUAUGCCACGAAUUUAAGGAUGCUGAGACAACAAGUAGAACAACUUUGGUAUGCCUCUUGUAUAGCAAGAUCUAUGUAAGAUAUUAAAAAUGUAAUUGAUACUUCAAAUUAUACUGUUGAGAAGUUGAACUAACGAAAGAUUUUCCUGCCAAACACCAACCGCAUCCAUAUUUCCCUUCCUAUUCUCCAUAUUACCUCUCUAUAUAAACUUGUCCAAAAUGAAUAAUAAGGCACAAGCAUAUUAGAUCUUUGAACGCUAGACAUCUUCAGCAAUGGGUUAUCACCACUAUCCAUCUCUUUUCUUAUUACUAAUUAUCACUCUGUCAUCAAGCAGCAGCUACAUGAUUCAAGCCAAAGCACGCCAUCUUCUUGAAAUAACCUUGCCUGAUCCUGAAUUGCCAAAUCUCCCUGAAAUCCCAACUCUACCUAAGCCUGAAUUGCCUGAAAUUCAAAAACCUGAACUGCCUGAAAUUCCGAAACCCGAGCUGCCAAUACUGCCGAAACCUGAAUUGCCAUCUUUGCCAAUUCCGGAAAUCCCAGAAUUGCCAGGGAAGCCAUGAAAGCCAUGAAUUGAUAUAUAUAUAUAUAUAUAUAUAUAUAUAUUAUUUCAAUUUCAGACCUCCCAGCUUGUGUUAUCUGAUCUUGUGAAUUGUCUUGCUUGUAUCUAUAUAUAUGUGGUAUUGUCUUAAAAAAAUUUGGUAUCGUCUUCCGCUUGUAAUGAUGUUUCUUCUUUUAUGGCUAAGCCAUUUAUCGUUGUACCAUCUAUGUUCCUAGUGGAAUACAAUCUAUAUCGUUGCUAUGAAGUUACGUUGAUAUGCU